CUCCCUGUGUCUGGUAGGCAGUGUACUGUUAGCUGGCUGCUUUGUGUGAAUCUAGCAGUCGCUACUGCACUGUCAACAGCUGCAGGGGCA
rnacentral:pre_miRNA from 2 species